UUACAUUUACAUUUGUAGCCAUUUAACUUUUUAAAUAUUUAUUUAUUGUGCGUGCGUGUAUGUGUGUGUGUGUGUGUGUGUGUGUGUGUGUGUGUCUACAUGAGUGUGUGUGAGCCAUGUGUGGGCCACAUGUCAAUGCUGAGAAGCAAACCUGAGGCCUUUGUGUAAGCAGUAACUUCACUCAGCUCUGACUAUCUUGAGAGCCCCCAGUACUUUGUAUCUAAUUUAUUCUUUCCAGUUUGGAACUAGAAAGAAUCUUAAGUUGAAUAUUCAUAAUUUAAUAAAUUUAUCAUUAAUUUAAACUUAAUAUUAAAUAGAACUGCAUCAUUGGCUUUUUAAUCUCAUAUCCCUGUAUGGCAAACAUAUUUAAUUUAUUUGUUGUCAAAAGAAGAAAAGCCACUGAAACUUUAUUUCUAGCUAAAAUUUCUGCAUAUAUAUCACAUAACAGAGACAUCACUUAGGUUUGUUUCAUGGAGGGAAGAAAAUCAUCAAUAUUUAUGUAGCCAUUUUUCUUUUAACUUUUUAUAUCACUUUAUUUCCAUAGUAACCUUAAAUAACUGAAAAAACAUCUUUUCAAGAUCAGAAGAUGUUAUGCUGAGUAAAUAAGCCAAUAACAAAGGGUAAAUGUUAUAUGAUUCUUCUCACAUGUGAUGUCUGGAGACAUCAAGUUCAUAGAAAUAGUAUUAGAAUGGUGAUUACUAGUGCUUGGGGGAGGAGGCAAUGGAAAUGGGGAAAUUUUAACCCUAUAAUGAGAAACAUUAUGGAUAGUCAAAUGAUAGUUCAGUAGUAACUAAUGCCCUACCAGUAUAAAAACUUCACUUUAAAUGAAAAAUAAAGAUACAUACAAAUUACUAAGUAUAGACAUGGAAUUUAGACUAAAUGGUUAUCAUAGUAAUGAAUGCCUUAGAUAUCAAAAAAGUGACUUGAAAUCAUUUUUUAAAUGCUAAAUGCUAUGAAUGUACCUGUAAUAGAAUCAAAUUGUAUCUUUAUUACACUUUCCAAAUUUUUUUUACAAAGAAACUUUAUUAUUUUAGGAGGAAUUGUUGAUAAGGAUCUUCGUCACUACCUCAACUUACGAUUUCAGAAGGGGUCUGUUGACCACGAACUUCAGCAAAUCAUCCGUGACAACCUCUACCUCCGCACGGUACCAUCUAGUAAGAAGAUGGGAAGGCUUAUAGACUGUGUCAUACACCAAGAGCCACCCUUUGGGUAUAUCAUGUCACCUCUUCAGUGAUUAUAGCUCUGCUUUCUUCAACGGUUGAACCAGAACACUAAUGGGAUAUUCAUCAGUAGUGAUUAGUAUUUCCAUUAAAGCAGUAAGUUAUGUGAACAAGAAGAAAACUCUUCAGGGAUUAUGGCUUGCACAUGUUUCAAUGGCUUCUCUCCAGUCACCUCAGCAGUAUCAUUCAUACAAAGUGUCAAGGCUGAUUAUGAUGUUAUUAAACAAUGGCUUGACUUUUCCCAUUCUCAUCCGAAGUACAACAAAACAGAAGCAACAGGGACAUUUGCUCAAGAGUUCCUAAAAUGCCUCUUGUUUUGAAGAAGAGGAUUACUCUUCAUCUCAAUGUGGCUACUCUGCACUGACUCAGUCUCCACUAAUGACUUCUCAGAAGUGGACAACUUCACUAGCUCACUUUGGCCACAGUCCCAUACUGACACAAAUUGCUUAUUCCCUUCAUUAAAAGCAUAUAGAUCUGAUCAACACAGUUUCCCUUCUAAAGUAUGUUUCUGGUUAAUAUCCCAAUUUUGGCUUAAAAUUUUAGAUUCAUAUGCACAGUGACAAUUCGGUGUCUAUCGAGAAACUUAGACUACUGAGAACCCAGUGAGUGAGCAGCCAAGCUUAACUUCUGCCAAGAUUUUAUCCCCCUUUUAUUGUUUCUAUUUAUUCCACAAGGCAAACCAGUAUAAAUAAUGUAACAUGACAUGCAAGUUUAGAAUAGUAUAUAAAACAAUUGAAGGUAUUUUAAUGAGGAAAAUUACUAGAAUAUUAAGAGAAGGUGGAGACUAGGAACUGUCAUUCUUCAAGAGUGCUAACCACAACAGUUGCCUCUGAGGCCUUCAGGUAAGACCAGAAGCCUGAGGCUGAGAAAGACUUCACCACUCUGGCUGCAAUUGUUCGAAGUUCUCCUUGAGGACCAACAACCUGUGAGUGGACACUGAGGUUCUUGCUGAAAACAUUCUAUCUCUGUUAGUUUUGUCUCUGAAGUAUAAUGUUUGAAAUUUUAGUAACUCCUUAGACAUAUAAUAACAACAAUAUAUCUUCAUUUUAUUAUGUAGUUGAAGACUGGUUUUUAAAUUUGUUGUUUUAGUAAUCUGUAGUUAAAUCCUUAUAAAUAAGACUCAGAGUAUUUGUUAAGGCUUUCCCCUUCCCUGUCUACACUGUCUGCUAAUGACUACAUUAUUCUAACUGGUUGUAGGCUACCAGAGAAAGGCAAUUGUUCCUUAGAAGGUGAGAAUUCUUAUACAGUGUCCAUGCAAUCUGCAACUAUCCUGCUCUACUUAGAGAAUGGGACAUUUUAAAUGUGUAUGGGAGUCUUUUUCAUUUUUAUUCACAAUUUUUCUAUUUAAAAGAAUGAAUGUGAUACUAACAAAACUUAGUUCAUAAUUAUAUUUCUCACAUGAGAAAUCAAUUGACAAAAAAUGCUUUUGGAACAUCAUUUCAAUUUGGAGCAAGAAAAGGAAUCUUAAUUAAAAUUGAGGAGUUGAAUAUAUUAUUUGAAGCUCUACAGGAAAUUAAUUAUACUUGGAAAGGAGCAAGGUGCUUUUAGCACUGAGUGGAACAAUCUCUUUGGUCAGAGGUCAAAUUCAGCAGCUUUUUGUGGGUCCCCAAAUCAUUUCUGUGUCUCAGAGUUCAUUAGUGAAUUAUGCUGUAAGUCUUUGGGAAGACUUACUUAAAUACACAUACAAGUGAUGCAUGAGUACAUAGAUUUGAAAGCCUUGUGUUUAAAUCAACAUGUUGACAUAAUAGUGGUGUUUUAUUUUUACUGUAAACAAACAAAAAAUACAAUUUCAAUUAUCUCCCAGGAUCAGCAUAUUUCUCUUUGUGAUUACAGUAAUCUUUAUUAAAAGUUAUCCUUAAAGAUUUUUUUUGUAAAAAUUGUGGUUGUUUUUUAAACUUUCAUUAACAUACAUAAUAACUUGUUUAAUUUAUAGAUAUUAAAUCCUCAGUGGCAAUAGGACCACAAUUUUAUCCUGGUACAUGAGCUAGCUUGUUGGAGCUCACUUGCCAUGGUGGGAUGCCAUGCUCAGCCUUAAUGAAUGGGAGAAGGGCCUGGACCUGCCCCAACCUAUUGUGCCAGACUAUGUCAGUUCCUCCUGGGAGCCCAGCCAGGGGGGGGGGGGGGGAGGGGGGGGGGGGGGGGGGGGGGGAGGAGGGGAGAGGGGGUAGAAGGAGGGGUGAGAGGGAGAACUGUGGUUGGAAAAAUAAUAAAAGUGAUGCAAAAAAUUGUAUAAACUUUUGUAUAUUAUAAUUAUUUUUCCUGUGCAUGUAUCUAAUACGGAAGUUGAAAUUCAGUUCCUUUUUGUUGUUGUUUUUAAAAUAGUGAGCACUAUGAAAGCUACAGCCACCAAGUCAAACAACCUCAGGCUAAAGGCAAGUUUAAAUCGGCUCUGGAAACCAAGCUCAGUGGAACAGGUGAUAGGCCCCUUUGUGUAUUUGUUUUGUUUUGCUUUUUGAGACAGAGUUUCUCUGUGUAGCUUUGGAGCCUGUCCUGGAACUCACUCUGGUGACCAGGCUGGCCUUGAACUCACAGAGAUCCACCUGCCUUUGCUUCCCAAGUGCUGGGAUUAAAG
ensembl:lincRNA